ensembl:misc_RNA Y_RNA Y RNA
GGCUGGUCCAGAUGCAGUGGUGUUUACGACUAAUUGAUCACAACCAGUUACAGAUUCCUUUGUUCCUCCUCCACUCCCACUCUUGACUCCCCUAAA